rnacentral:lncRNA from 1 species
CUAUAGAUAAUAUAUCUCAUGCACUCUUCUGUCGAAGCCCUUCGUGUUUCCCAAGUCGAGUAAGAUUCGUUAUCCCUUUGCGGAAUCGAAUAUUCAUUCUACCCCAGUUGUUUGGAUAAUUGCCUUGUUCGCACAAUUUAUCCCCAGUGAGUCAUCUCUCGUCUACCCUGUCGUUGUUGGUAACGAUUGUUUCUCUUUUCGGUCGAUU